rnacentral:rRNA from 1 species
UGGUGGAGCGAUUUGUCUGGUCAAUUCCGAUAACGAACGAGACUCUAGCCUACUAAAUAGUUCGGGGGACCCCCCACAAGGCCGGGCCCGUCUACUACUU